UCCUGGCCUCAACUGCUCUUC
rnacentral:miRNA from 1 species